GCUGGGUGCCACGGCACACACCUGUAAUCCCAGCUACUCAGGAGGCUGAGGCAGGAGGAUCACAAGUUCAAGAACAGUCUCGCAACUUAGCAAGACCCUGUCUCAA
rnacentral:sRNA from 1 species